rnacentral:rRNA from 1 species
AGUGAACGCUGGCGGUAGGCCUAACACAUGCAAGUCGAACGGCGGCACAGUAAGAGCUUGCUCUUACGGGUGGCGAGUGGCGGACGGGUGAGGAAUACACCGGAAUCUACUUUUUCGUGGGGGAUAAUGUAGGGAAACUUACGCUAAUACGGCAUAGGACCUACGGGUGAAAGCAGGGGUUUUUGGACCCUUGCGCGUUUGAAUGAGCCGAUGUCGGAUUAGCUGGUUGGCGGGGUAAAGGCCCACCAAGGCGACGAUCCGUAGCUGGUCUGAGAGGAUGAUCAGCCACACUGGAACUGAGACACGGUCCAGACUCCUACGGGAGGCAGCAGUGGGGAAUAUUGGACAAUGGGCGCAAGCCUGAUCCAGCCAUACCGCGUGGGUGAAGAAGGCCUUCGGGUUGUAAAGCCCUUUUGUUGGGAAAGAAAAGCAGCAGGUUAAUACCCCGCUGUUCUGACGGUACCCAAAGAAUAAGCACCGGCUAACUUCGUG